rnacentral:misc_RNA from 1 species
AAGUCGUAACAAGGUUUCCGUAGGUGAACCUGCGGAAGGAUCAUUACUAGAGCAAAGGAUAGACAGCGCCCGCGGAGCUUGCUCCCUGGGGCUACCCUACUUCGGUAGGGUUUAGAGUCGUCGGGCCUCUCGAAGAAGCUCGGUCCUGAACUCCACCCUUUGUAUACUAUACCUUUGUUGCUUUGGCGGGCCGCCUAGCUACUGGCUUCGGCUGGUAAGUGCCCGCCAGAGGACCCAAAACCCUGAAUAUUAGUGUCGUCUGAGUAAAAUUUUAAUAUUUAAAACUUUCAACAACGGAUCUCUUGGCUCUG